GGCUGUGGGGGCGAUCUGGCUGCAACAUCUGUCACCCCAUUGAUCGCCAGCGUUGAUUCGGCUGAUCUGGCUGGCUAGGCGGGUGUCCCCUUCCUCCCUCACCACUCCAUGUGCGUUCUCCCGAAGCUGUGCGCUCGGUCGAAGAGGACGACCAUCCCCGAUAGAGGAGGACCGUUCUUCGGUCAAGGGUAAAUGAGUAGCUGUGCUCCCCUGCUAGAACCUUCAAACAAGCUCUCGAGAAUUGGGAAGGCAUGUGAGAAAACACAGCAGAAGCCAACUAUC
ensembl:misc_RNA 7SK 7SK RNA